UUGAAACUUUUUUCGCCCCUCUUCCCUUCUCUGUGUACUUUCCCGUCGGGUUUAGACUUACACUCAUUCUCUAGCCACCAAAUUCCAAUUAUAUAAAAAAUUUCCAAAUUAUUUUUUUUAUUAAUAUCCUCAUUUCUCAUUUCCUUUUAACUAUCCGCUAAAUUUUCCUGAAAAAAAUAUUUUUUGUUUAACAUUUUCUUUUUCAAAAAAGGAUUAUAAUGAAUCUACCGGAUCCGUCGCUGGAGUUACUAUUGGCGAGCGGCGGCGACACCGUGAAGAUCUUCGACAUUAAGCUUGAAUCGAACGAUCCUUGCGUUUUAAGUUACUCGCCUUCUCCGAGUUUCCUUGUCAACUCGGUUAAGUGGAACCCCACUACUGAGUUAAUGUUAUGGUAGAUUUAGUGGUGGCGAGUGCUGGAGGUGAUAAGAAGAUAUCGCUGUGGCGGAAAAAUGGGCAGAAUAUGGGGACAGUUCCUGUUGCCGGGACUGAUAGUGGAGAUAACAUUGUGGAGUCUAUUUAGCUUUGGCAACAAGGGAUCCAGAUACAUAUGUUCAGGGGGAAGUGGUCAAGUUGUAAGAAUAUGGGAUUUGCAGGGGAAGCGUUGCAUCAGAUGGUUACAGGUGUUAUGUACAACGGCAAAGAUGAACACUUGGCCUUCAUCAGCCUAAGUGGGGAUCUUAUUCUUCACAACCUUGCAUCUGGAGCGAGGGCUGCUGAACAAAAGAUCCUAAUGAACUGUUUGUUUAAUUGUUGCAUUCAGCUGCAGGUGAUGAUGGAUCUAUCCAUUUGUGGGAUACCACUGGUUAUAGCCCAAAGGUUUCCUGGUUGAAGCAGCACUCUGCUCCCACAGCGGGCAUUAGCUUCUCACCAUCCAAUGAUAAGGUCUCAGUAUUUCUUUUUAUUCUCUUCCUCCUCUUUCAGGCUUAAUUAAAGAUAAUUGCUAUUGUUGGGUUGGAUAAAAAGCUGUACACUUAUGACUCAGGGUCUAGAAGACCCUCAUCUUUCAUUUCUCAUGAGGCACCUUUCUCUUCAUUGGCAUUUAGAGAUGAUGGUCGGACACUGGCAGCUGGCACCAGUAAUGGUAGAGUUGUAUUCUACAAUAUUCGGGGAAACUAUGGCCUUUUACUGUUCUUUGUGCUUAUAGUAGUUCAGAGGCUGUUUCAAGUUUAUGCUAGCAAAGAUCAAAACCAGCCAUCGUUAAUGAGAGUACAUGCACUGCUGAGACUGCUCUUUUGGGAGGUGUAGUGGAGGAUUCAAUUCUUAUGCCUGAUCCACUUCCAUUUGUGACAUCAUCAAGCCUUUCACUAUCCACAGCAAUUUCUGGUUCUCAUAUCACUGGCCAUUCAGGUCCUGCAGUAGUAUCUUCUCUUACAAGUAGUAGUGGAUCAGUGUUAAGCACACUCAAUCUUUCUUCUUCUGAAGAAACACCACAUAAAAGCCAUUUGUGUCAAGGAGGAACACUGACGAGAUUACAUGCUUCUUGUUUCUACAUACAAUUUCAAGGAUGAUAUGGAAGUGUUUUCCCCUCAUGUGGAUGUUCAAUCGAUUACACCAUCACUGGAUAAGCUGUGGGAUGAUCAUGAGGGUGUAAAGAAAGAGCAUUUACUCACUAAUAAGAAGCUUUCCUUAUUGUUUCCUUCUAGCAGGAGCUUUGCUUUUGCAGAUGGAGGUAGUGAUCACCCAAUAUCUGAUUGGAAGUCCAGUUCAAUGUCUCAACAGGUUUUAUGCUUUUUCAUCUUUUAUUAGAUUUACAGUACCACAUGGCAUACUUAAUUUGAUUUUUCAGUAAAGGAUGUUUUAUAUGCAAGUAAGGCAAUGGGUAACUGUUCAUGCCAGUCUCUAUAUGUAUCAGUCAUUUUUUUCAAUAUUCUUUUGAUGUUCUUGUUCACAACUUCUACGGCACCAUUCAUUUUUUGGCGAUAUGGUUCUGAAUGAUGAUGCUUUAUCUUGAAUUGUGAACACAAUUCUUUCAACAUAUUAUUGUUCAAGUUGCUAGUAUUAUCUAAGAUGAUCUUUUUUAGGAACCUGUAUCGACAUAUUAUCUCUCUUUUUAUAAAUUUGCACAUCACUAAUUGGGUAAUAUUGGCAUACAAAGCUGCUUCCACCGACUUGAUGAAAUAGUCAAUUAUUACAAAAAUAAAAUGAUGUCCAUUUGAAGCUUUCGGGGUUAUAGGUCCAAUCACAUCCAUCUCUCACAUAGAGAAGGCCAUGGUGGUGCUAAGACAUGAAAUGGGACUAAAAGGGAAUGAAUUUUAUCUGUAUAAAUUUGGCAUUUAUGGCACUUUUUGCCAUAACUAAUGUAAUCAUUUUCCAUUGUAGACUUGUAGUAACUCACUCUCAUAAUUUGUUUGACUAUUAUAUUCCCUUUGGCAUGUGUUUCAUAAAUUCCCUUGUGUAUUUCUUUAAGUAUCUUCUUAUUUCAAUAGCGUCUACAUACUUUAGCAAGAUUUGGUCUCGACUUUUUUUAUACAGGAUUUCUCCAUCAAGCACAAAACCUGCUACUAAUCUUUAGAUAAUCCUUUUAUCUUUUUUUGAGGUCUACUUAGGGUAGUUUUGGCAUUUGAUAUACUACACAAUGUCAUAAUACCAUGGUUGUUAAUUUACCUCUUUUUCUACAUUCGAAUAGUAGGUCGGUGAAUCUUUUAUUUGUAUUCUGAUGAGUUGGAUUCCCAUAUUGUCAUCUAACUUGAACAUUGCUGUCAAAGUAGCCAAGGCAUCAGCAAUCUGAUUUUUUUUUUCAAGUAACAUGCUGAAAUUGGAUUUCUUUGAACUAUUUUAUCAAGCUAGUUAUGUGCCUUUGGUAUAACACUAAUUUCGAGUCCUUGGUUUCCUUUUUGCCUUUUAUUCGAUAAAUUACCAAGGCUAAAUCCCCGUAUACUUUUAUUGUCUCAAUCUUCUUUUAAUAGCCAUCUGCAAACCUAUGGCAUAUGCUUCAUAUUCAGUAAUAUUGUUUGUGCAAUUGAAGUCUAACCUUGUAGUACAAGGGUAAUACUUCCCUUUUGGGGAUAUUAGCACUGCCCUAAUACCAUGUCUUAUUAUAUUGGAUGCUCUAUCAAAAAACAUCUUCCACACUUUUUAUAUAGGCUUUUCAUCUUUAUCUUGUAAGAUCACUAUUAAGUUUUCAUCUGAAAACUUAAACUUCAUAUGCUCGUAAUCUUUUAUAGUUUGAUCAGUAAGAAAAUCAUCUAUUACACUCUUUUUUAUGGAUUUUUGUGUUUUAUACACAAUAUCAUAUUCCAAGAGCAUGACCUACCAUCUUGUUAUCUUGUUCGAUAGAGACGAUUUUUUAAAAAUGUACUUGAAGGGACCUAACUUCGAUAUCAGCUAAGUUGUAUGAUAGAGCAUGUACUGCCUGAGUUUAGAGUAGUCCAAGCUAGGGCACAACAUAUUUUUUCUAUUUAAGGGUACUUAGCCUCAUACUUCAUAAACAUUUUACUCAAAUAGUAGAUAGUAUGCUCAUUCUUACCAAUUUCAUCCUUUUGCCUUAAUAUACACCUCAUUGAAUUUUCUUACACCGUCAGAUAUAAAAUCAAUGGCCUUCUUGCAAUUGGUGGUACCAACACGGGUGAGCUUAUCAAAUACUCUUUAAUGUUUUUAAAGAUAUUUUGGCAUUCUUCAUCCCAUUUACUAAGAUUAUUCUUACGAAGCAACCUAAAGAUUAUAUCACAUUUUGAGGUGAGUUAAGAUAUAAAGUGAGAAAUAUAAUUCAAUCACCCCAAAAAGCCUUUCACUUCCUUUUGCGUACACGAUGAUGACAACUCUUAAAUGGCUCGAAUCUUAUCAUGGUCUACUUCUAUACCUUUUUCACUAAUUAUAAACCCUAGUAAUUUUUCAGAUUUAACACCAAAGAUAUAUUUGGUCGAAUUCAACAUAAGUUGGUAUCUCCGUAACCUUUCAAAGAAUUUUUUGAGAUUAGCAACAUGAUCUUCACAUUUUUUAAACUUAGCUAUCAUAUCAUCGACAUACACCUCUAUCUCCUUAUAUAUCAUAUCAUGAAAAAGAGUUACCAUCGCCCUUUUAUAUGUGGCUCCAGCAUUUUUUAGCCCAAAAGGCAUGAUUUUAUAGCAAAAUAUGCCUUACAUGGUUACGAAUGUAGUUUUUUUUUAUAUCUUCAUGAGCCAUUUUGAUCUAGUUAUAGUAAAAGAACUCAUCCAUGAAUGAAAAGGUAGAGUACUUAGCAGUGUUAUCCACAAGGGUAUCAUUAUAUGGCAAUGAAAAAUUAUCCUUUGGGCUGGUCCUAUUUAAAUCUCGAUAAUUUAUACACAUUUUAACUUUUUCAUCUUUCUUAGGAAUUGAAACUGCAUUGGCUACCCAUUCAGGGUAUUUUGCUACUUCUAAAAAACUUACAUCAAAUUGCUUCUUUACUUUCUCUUUUAUCUUCAACAAUAUUUUUGACUUUAUGCAUCUUAACUUUUGUUAUAUCGAUCAACAUUUUGGUUUUAAAGGCAAUCUAUGCUCAACCACAUUUGUGCCAAGUUUGGGCAUAUCCUGAUAGGACCAUGCAAAUACAUCUACAUAUUCUUGCAACAAAUUCACCAAUUUUUGUUUCUCAAUUGGUGAUAAUAAAAAAUCGAUCCUAACUUCUUUCUUAUUCUCACCAUCUUCCAAAUUCAACAAGUCAGUAGAUUCUUGAUGGAGUUUUAUAAUUUUUUCCUUUUGCUCUAACUAUUUUAACAGAUUAUGAGGCAAAUCAUAGUCUUCUAAGUCAACAUUGCUAUCAAGCUCACUAAUGUGAAUCGAAUUUUCAAAAUCAAUCCCAACGUUAUU